AAAAGGCAUUCUUUUUCUUUAUCGAAGUUCCGGCGGUUAAAGAUGGACAUGCGGUGCAUUAGCUUGUUGGUGAGGUAACGGCUCACAAGGCUACGAUGCAGUAGGGGGUCUGAGAGGAUGACUCCCCCACACUGGUACUGAGACACGGACCAGACUCCUACGGGAGGCAGCAGUAGGGAAUAUUGGGCAAUGGACGAAAGUCUGACCCCAGCCACGCCGCGUGAAGGAUGACUGCCCUAUGGGUUGUAAACUUCUUUUGUAUGGGAAGAAAAUUCCGAACGUGUUCGGAGCUGACGGUACCAUAAGAAUAAGCAUCGGCUAACUCCGUG
rnacentral:rRNA from 1 species